CCUACGGGAGGCAGCAGUAGGGAAUCUUCCACAAUGGGCGAAAGCCUGAUGGAGCAACGCCGCGUGAGUGAUGAAGGCCUUCGGGUUGUAAAACUCUGUCAUUCGGGACGAACCGGAGUCUGAGGAAAUGCAGACUCUCUGACGGUACCGGAGGAGGAAGCCCCGGCUAACUACGUGCCAGCAGCCGCGGUAAUACGUAGGGGGCAAGCGUUGUCCGGAUUCACUGGGCGUAAAGCGCGCGCAGGCGGUGAUGUAAGUCUGAGGUGAAAACCCGAAGCUCAACUUCGGGACUGCCUUGGAUACUGCGUCACUUGAGGAUAGGAGAGGCAAGGGGAAUUCCACGUGUAGCGGUGAAAUGCGUAGAGAUGUGGAGGAACACCUGUGGCGAAGGCGCCUUGCUGGCCUAUUUCUGACGCUGAGGCGCGAAAGCGUGGGGAGCAAACAGGAUUAGAUACCCUGGUAGUCCACGCUGUAAACGAUGAGUGCUAGGUGUAGGUGGGCUCAUACCCAUCUGUGCCGAAGCUAACGCAUUAAGCACUCCGCCUGGGGAGUACGGUCGCAGACGUGAAACUCAAAUGAAUUGACGG
rnacentral:rRNA from 1 species